rnacentral:lncRNA from 1 species
AAUAUAUAUAAACGUAUGGUGAUAUAUUUUAAAGAGUUAUAACAUAUGCAAGAGUGUUAGACUUUUACUUACUUUUGUUUCAUUUCAUCACAUUGUUUACCUUUCUUCCUCUUGUUUACUUAUCCCCAAUUCCCAUGUAUGGAUAAUAGCAUAUUUUUAAAAGAAAUAAAAAGAAACGAAUACAAUGCUGAGGAUUUCUUUAACAGUUAUUUUGGUAUAGUAAUAAAUGAUGAUUUUUCAAAUGCUUCGACUUAUCCAAAUAAAGAGUGUGAACAUAUCCUAAAUGAAAAAAUAGCUGAGAAAGUAAAAGUAUUAAAAAAAGAAUUACAAGAACAGAAGAAUCACACUCAUCAAAAAAUAAAUAGUGAAACCACAAUUUUUAAAGAAAAAAUUGCGCAAAUAAAAGACCAUACAAAUGAAAUAAUUCUUGAAUUACAUAACACUAACAUUGUAAAGAAUAUGAACGAUACGAUGUUAAGUAAUGUUGAGAUUCAAGAUAUUUAUGAUAGUAAAGAUCAGAUAGUAGGUCAAACACAAAGACAACUAUUGGAGAAAGAAAAUUCAUUUAGGGAGGUUAGCUUAAAUAAAAAAUUCAUAACAAGCAAUAAAAAUGCCCAAGAUAGUGUAAGUAAAAAUUCAAAAAAAGACUUAGAUUAUAAGUUAAGCAUCGAUUUAACAUAUAAAGAAAAAAUAAAUCACAAUAAACAACAGGAUUACCAAAAAGAAAACGAACAUACAAAUAAUAAUAUAAAAGAGUAUAAUAGAAAAUUAAGUUUGAUAUAUGAUGAAAACAAAGAAAACUUAAAAUUCGAAAAGUUAUUACAAAAUAGCCUUGAAGCUAAAUCUAAAUUUGAAAAGAUAAAAAAAGGGUUACUAUUUCUGCAAACCUUUUUAUCAAUGCAAAAAGAAAUGGAUGAAAAUUUGGCAGCUGGUAAAAAUAUAAAAUUAGAUAUAAAUGAUAAAAUAAAUAUGGUUUUAACAUUAAACAAAAAUUUACUAUAUAUAAUUGAACAUGAAGAAAUUAUAUCGUAUUUAAAAAAAAACAUCUCUAAUGAUAUUUGUAUAUACUCCAUUAACUUUUUUCCAAAUUUUUUUUUUGUAUUAAAUAAUGUUAUAUGUUCUUACAUUAUUGAUAACAGUAACAUAGAUAUACUGGAAAUAUUAAAAAUUUAUGUGUGUUUAUUUAAAACAUAUUUAAAAAAUAUGAAUGUUAACAUAUACACGAAUGACUACUUAAUAAACGAAAUAGGGAAAAAACUUGUUCAAUUUAUUGUUGAUAAUUAUUUUACUAAAACGUUUAUAAAAUUUACUCAAUCGGAUAAUGAUCCUUUUAUUCAUAAUAGUAUUAUUAAUUAUUAUCAAUAUUUUACAACUUUUAUUGAGGAAAAAAAUAAAACUAUGCAAAAUGUUAUCACACAAAUUAAUUUAGUCGUAAAGAAUGCACAAGAAAAAGAAAAUAAAAAAGAUAACAGUAUUAUAAAUAAUGACAGUACAACACUAUUAUUAAGGACAAAUAGUACAAUAUCUAUAGAUGAUAAAAAUAUAUACGAAAAUGAGAAACCACAUGAUGACAUAUUAAAGAAAAAUCCCAAUAUUACAGUUAAUAACAUCACAGAUGAAAACAACGCGUUAACUAACGAAAAAGAACGUUCAAAAAUAGAUAUAAAUAAAAAUGAUAAAAUGUAUUAUAAUAAAGUCGAAAAAGACGACGUCAAAAAUAGUACAGAAAAAUGUGAUGCAAUGUAUGUCGAAUUUUUUUUUACACAUUUAUUUAAAGAAUGUAUAUAUGUAAUUUGUGUGUAUAUUGAAAAAUUAAAUAUUCUUAAAAAUAUUGAUGAGAAAAAAAAUCAUCAUAAAUCUGCUGCUUUUAAAAAAAAAAAUUUUAUAAAUAAAAUUAUGGAAACAUUAAACAUAUGUAUUAAUAUUUUAUCUAAUUGCACUUUUUUAAUUUCUAAAAAAAAUGUAUUAAAAAAUAUAUUGAAAGAAUCUAUUUUUAUGAAUAAUGAAAUUAUGAAUGAAUAUAUUAUUAGUAUUACGGAUAUAAGUCAUUAUGAUAUGAGUUGUUUUGGAACUGUUAAUUUACAAGUAACUAGUUUUGAUAGACAUGAUUUACUAUCAAAAAAUAAACUUUUUAAUUUUUUUAUUGAAUUACAAAAUAAUAUUAAAAAUAUUAUAACAGAGAAAAAAAAAGAAGUUAAUAAUAAUAGUAUAUUUAAUUCUCAUUUCUUCCGAUUUGUUGUUUUUUUUUCCUUUAUUUUUAUCCAUGAUACUGAGUUUCUUUUACUUUUUAUUAAUAUAUAUAAUUUUCUAUAUGAAAUUAUAUAUAAUAUAAAACAAGAAAUAAAAAAGAAAAAAGAAGAAAAUGAAAAAAAAAAAAAAAAAAAAAAGAACAAAACGUAGAAGAAAAAAAAAACAAUUUACAACAAGAAUUUAUUAACAACGAAUCCUUACAAAUGAAACAAGAAUUUUAUGCAUCCAACAUGGUUGUUGAUUAUAUUAAAAAUGUUAUUUUAAUUUUUAUCCAAAUAGUGAAUAUAUUUGAUGAGAUAAUUAAAGAAUAUGAAUUGUUUACUUCUUUUAUUUUUGAAAAAACAUAUUACCAUUUUAAAACUACAAACCUUUUUAAUUCUAUAUCAAAAGCACAUUUAUAUAGACAAAAAAAAUAUCCCUUACAAAUUGAUUCACAAGUUGCACACAUACACAACUACUUUUUUUAUAACAAUAAUUUUGAUUCCUUAGAACAGAUAAAAGGAGAUAAAUAUACGAAUAGCUUAGAUCCAAAUUUAUACUCAAGUUUCUCAUCAAUAAGUUCGGUGCAUGAUACAAAUGAUAGUAUAAAUCCAAUUGAGACAAAAAAUAUCAUAAAGAUGGAUAUAUAAAAGAUGUCCAAAGGGGAAAAGCGGAAAUAGGUACAAACAGUAAUAAUGAUAAAAAACAGAUAACAGAUGUAAACAAUAUAUCAAAUGAAAAUAAUAAUGAUAAAAGUAUCACAUUAACUAAUGGUACUAUUAAUACUACUGAUGCUACUGCCCCCAUUAGUACUGUCAUACAUACAGAAAAUAUAAACUUUUUAAAAUGUGGGAAUUAUUUGUUUAAGUCAUCAAUAAGUAAACUAAAUGAAAUAAAAAAUACAAUAUUAAAUAAUGUUGUUUAUUU